rnacentral:rRNA from 1 species
UUGAUAGUACCUUACUACUUGGAUAACCGUGGUAAUUCUAGAGCUAAUACAUGCUAAAAACCGCGACUUCGGAAGCGGUGUAUUUAUUAGAUAAAAAACCAAUGCCCUUCGGGGCUCCUUGGUGAUUCAUGAUAACUUAACGAAUCGCAUGGCCUUGCGCCGGCGAUGGUUCAUUCAAAUUUCUGCCCUAUCAACUUUCGAUGGUAGGAUAGUGGCCUACCAUGGUAUCAACGGGUAACGGGGAAUUAGGGUUCUAUUCCGGAGAGGGAGCCUGAGAAACGGCUACCACAUCCAAGGAAGGCAGCAGGCGCGCAAAUUACCCAAUCCCGACACGGGGAGGUAGUGACAAUAAAUACUGAUACAGGGCUCUUUUGGGUCUUGUAAUUGGAAUGAGUACAAUUUAAAUACCUUAACGAGGAACAAUUGGAGGGCAAGUCUGGUGCCAGCAGCCGCGGUAAUUCCAGCUCCAAUAGCGUAUAUUAAAGUUGUUGCAGUUAAAAAGCUCGUAGUUGAACCUUGGGCCUGGCUGGCCGGUCCGCCUCACCGCGUGUACUGGUCCGGCCGGGCCUUUCCUUCUGGGGAUCCGCAUGCCCUUCACUGGGUGUGUCGGGGAACCAGGACUUUUACUUUGAAAAAAUUAGAGUGUUCAAAGCAGGCCUUUGCUCGAAUACAUUAGCAUGGAAUAAUAGAAUAGGACGUGCGGUCCUAUUUUGUUGGUUUCUAGGACCGCCGUAAUGAUUAAUAGGGAUAGUCGGGGGCAUCAGUAUUCAAUUGUCAGAGGUGAAAUUCUUGGAUUUAUUGAAGACUAACUACUGCGAAAGCAUUUGCCAAGGAUGUUUUCAUUAAUCAGUGAACGAAAGUUAGGGGAUCGAAGACGAUCAGAUACCGUCGUAGUCUUAACCGUAAACUAUGCCGACUAGGGAUCGG